UCCAGAAGCUGGUGAGCCACUGACUAACGCACAUUGUGCUGUUAUAGACUCCACUGUGCGUGUGACAGCGGCUAACCUGCUUUUCGGACAU
rnacentral:pre_miRNA from 1 species